rnacentral:rRNA from 1 species
GAAAGCCUGACGGAGCAAUACCGCGUGAGGGACGAAGGCCUGUGGGUUGUAAACCUCUUUUGUUAGGGAAGAUAAUGACGGUACCUAACGAAUAAGCAUCGGCUAACUCCGUGCCAGCAGCCGCGGUAAGACGGAGGAUGCAAGCGUUAUCCGGAAUUAUUGGGCGUAAAGCGUACGUAGGCUGCUAAUUAAGUCUGUUGUCAAAGCGCGAGGCUCAACCUUGUAAAGGCAAUGGAAACUGAAUAGCUAGAGAGAGAUAGGGGCAGGAGGAAUUCCAGGUGUAGCGGUGAAAUGCGUAGAUAUCUGGAAGAACACCAGUGGCGAAAGCGUCCUGCUGGAUCUCAACUGACGCUGAAGUACGAAAGCUAG